GUUUAGCUUCACAGCAUAGUUGAAAGUUGCCAGACUGAACAUUGUGCAAUAAAGUAGAAUUCUAUAUUGAUAAGGGAACUGAUUUCCAAACUAAAAUUUGAUAGAUAAAAGUAUUAUUAAUCAAAUGAUGAUAUGAUCAGAGUAAAGAAUUUUGCCAUUUUAAGUCUUUUGUUUUAGCCACCUGUAGUCUUACCAACCAUCUUUAUCCUUGUCUGCAGGGAUAAUAAUAACCUAAUGUAGUGUUUUAAGAUAAUUUAAUGAUACUAUCUUUCCAAAGUUUGUUAGAUUUUAAAUGUAUUAUUGAGCUGAGGCCGGAGAAUUGCUUGAACCCGGGAGGCAGAAGUUGCAGUGACCCAAGAUCGUGCACUUCACUCCAGCCUGGGCAAAAGAGCAAAACUCCGUCUCAAAAAAUAUACAUACAUAUGGUGAUAAAGUUUCCCAUUUUCCAAUGCAGCUUCACAUUUGAACAACUCUAAUUGAUACAGCUUUAUGGCAGGGUUUUAGCGUGUGAGUGGGAUCCAAAACACUCAAUCCUGUAAAAGGGUACAGUCCUGUUGUACAUUAACACACUGAUGAUGUGAGCCUAUGAGAUGAGCCAAUUACCAAUUAUGUUAUAUUCGAAUCUGCUUUGUGUUGGGAUACUUUAAUGUAGGGUUUCAGUAAAUAAAUGAAUUUUCAUAUACUGAACUGAAA